GACCUCGGAUCAGGUAGGGAUACCCGCUGAACUUAAG
rnacentral:rRNA from 4 species